GUAGGUUCAUGAACAUCUGGAGCAGAGAUUCCCAUGAUGCAAUGCUUCCCUGCUUUUCUGGUACCAGAGUUCAGUCUGGUUCUCUGUUCUUCAUUCUGUAUGCUAAUCCCCGUCCCAUCUUUCAUGUAGAUGAGGCUAGGGGAGUUGUUUCUGCUCUCCAUUCUGUAUGCAAAUGGAGAUGUCUUAAUCUUGUCACCCUUGUCAGAAGGGGUCUCUAGGUGUGUGUCCCAACGCCCUUCAUUGCUCUCUACAAGCCUUUUCUCUGAUUGGUCUUGGUUCAAGCAGAGACCGGGGUGUGUGUGUGUCCCUCAUGAGUCAGACAGGCCAGACACUGCGCCCUGGUUCCCCAAAACCACAGAGCUGACUGGUAUCAGGGUGGCCUGCUCCAUGAUGCCAUCUACUUCUCUGACGGAGUGUCCUUUUUUGAAGAAGGCAGUUCUGAGUGUAUUAAGGUGUAUAUCCUGGACUUUCUCCUUGGAGCAUAUUCUGUUGUAUCUAGUUACUGACUGUAGGGAAUAGAUUUCCUCGGUGUGUUUGGGGUGGUGACUGGAUCUAUGAAUGCAGGUGUGGUGAUCUGUGGGUUUAUUUUAUAUAGUUGUCUAUAGGGGUUCUAUUGGUGAAGCUGAUCAUGAUGUCCAGGAAGUUUAUUGUUGAUCUGGGAGUGUGUCAGAGAGAGUUUAAUGGACAGGUGGUGGUUGUUGAAGUAGUGGUGGAAAGCUAUAAGGACUUUUAAGUCAUCUGUCCAGAAGAUAAAAAUAUCAAUGAUGUAUCUCAGGUAUAUCUUGGGUUUUGUGAUACAUUUGUCCACUAGUGUAGUCAAGUGCUUAAAAUACUAGACAGGGAGUCAGGACUCCUGGGUUCUAUUUCCAGCUUUAGUACCAUAAUUGCCACAUACCUAUGGCAGAAGGAGGUCCUGUUCCCAGUGUUGGUGUAUGCAGAGUACAGACAUGGCCUAGGAGUAUGCAUAGAACUGUGAUAAUGUGAGUUUUUCAAUGGUAGAGCUCACAUGGAAGGUGUAAUUCCAAACUGGACCUUUGGGGAGCUAUUCAUUGUGUCUCCUUCCUGGCAGAUCAGCACUACUCUGCUGGAAAGGGGAUGGGGCAGGAAAGAAGACACAGGGAGAGCCGGAGAGGCAGAAUCUGGUGAGGGUAUAGGGAGAUGACUGGGUAUCUCACUGUGACUAGAGGACUUUUCUCCUUGAUUGCCUAAACUAUUAGACAGCUGGAGAAACUCAUUUCAAAGAGCAUUCAGGACAAAUCAAGGCUGAGAAGAGUUCUGUACAGAAAAGAGAGCCCUGCCCAGGGAGCUUAAGAAGGCAUCAGAAGUCACUAAUGUUCACAUACCAACUACCCAGCUGACCAUGCGGGCUCCACGCUGCAAACGCUCUCCUGCCUGGAGUACACAGAGGAGGUGGUGGAUCUCCUGGGUCUGUGGUGACAAGAGGCUGUGCAGGCACAGCUCCAAUCUAGCUAUAGAAAUGUCAACACUGAUGAGCAGAUCACUCAGGGGAGCAGGAGAAGGGCUACAAGAGGGACAUGCAGCAGAGCCACAUGAAAAUCAAGGAGCUGCAGUAGGCGUACCAGAAGGCAAGGAAGGCAAACAGUCACGCUGGUGCAGAGCCGCAGACAUGCAGCUUCUCUAAGGAGCUCUAUGUCAUCCUCAGCAGCGACACCCCCCCAUCACCACAAGGGCCCUGUGUAUACUUCAGGGGUGCUGGAGGCACAGGCCACCAAAGUGAACCCUGAGGAUGAGGUGUUGGAAGAGGAGGAGGUGAGCUUGAUGCAGGGGUAGGAACCUCUGCUGCAAAUGCGGUCUUGAGGGUCUCUCCAUCCACACCCAUGGAGUGGCUUAGCCAGGUAAGGAGGAGUCUGAAGAGGACAAGGGAAGACACGUUCCAGGAGAUCCUGCAAGCCUCUGGUGCUUCGGAUACCAAACAGAGGGCUUAGAGGAUUACACUUGAGGACAGAAUGGACAGGGAUAGUGAGGACAGGAAAAACAGACAGCAAGAGAUGAUAGUACUUCUCAGGGAGCAAACAGACAUGCUGUGGUCUCUGACUGACCUUCAAGCUCAAUAGGUUCAUGCUCGCCUCCCCCUGCAGCCAAUAGAGAACUGCAUUUUGGCACCUCUCUACACGCCCUCCCACCCAAUCCGCAUGGCGUCUGGGGCCUGUGCAAUACCCCUACCACUCCACUUGGGGGAGAGUGUUUGUGAAAUUGAAGUGACUGUUCUUUCCCCUUCAAAGGUUCUUGUCCCUGUAUUUAUAAAGUUUUGUUCUGCUUUAACUAUGUCUAUUUGCAUGGGUUCAGAAUAAAAGUCUAUUUAUGGAAAAUUAAUUCAUCUUUAUUAGUUCACAAGAUAUGGUGGCUGGGGUUGGCAUCAUUUCACAGAUAAUAGCAAUAGGUACAUUUGCAGUAUUAUAUUACCACACACAGAGCUCUCAUUACAAGGUGCAUACUGGGGUGCAAAGAAAAAAAUGCCAGGUGCAGCACACUAGAGCAACACACAUUACUGUGGCUCAUUGUUAUAAUGGUCCUUCAAAGUCUCCCACCCAGGGGUAGGCUGGAUCUCCCAAGAUCACUACUGGCAUUUCAACAUCCCUUUUGGUAAUCCUCUGGUCUGGAAAAGUCCCUGCGUUUGUCAUGUGCCUUCCCUGACCUGUUCAUGUUGAUGUAGGUGAAAUGACCCUGGUAAUCCACCAGCACUUGCAAUGCCAUAGAAAAGUAGCCCUUUCUGUUGAUGUACUCCGUGGCAAGGUGGUGUGGUGCCAAAAUAGGGAUAUGCGUGCCAUCUGUCACUCCACCGCGGGUAGGGAACCCUAUUGCUGCAAAACCAUCCACUAUUUCUCAGACAUUGCCCAGAGUCACAGUCCUUUUUAGCUGGACACAAGUAAUGGCCCUGCACACUUGCAUCACCGCAACCCCCACAAUGGAUUUACUAAUUCCUUCCUAAAGAAGCUGACCAAAUGCCUCACAAAGCUUACUUAGAAAUCAAGCAAGUAUACAGCCAAUAUUCUUAACCUCAAGUACAAAAUGCUAUAUGUGUACAAAUAGGAUGAAUAGAUA